rnacentral:lncRNA from 1 species
GUCAGGGGGAAGAGUCAGUGCAGUGUGAGUCAUGUUGGGGGCAGGUGGUGGCUCCCUGGCGACAAAGGCAUGGGUGUGGAGGUUAGGGCUGGGGAGAAAGGAGAGCUGGUAGCCUUUUCCUUUUGUUUUGUGUCAUUUACGUACCAUAAAAUGCACACGUUAGUGUAGAAUUCAGUGGCUAUUAGUGCGUUCACAGAGUUGUAAAACAUCACUGCAAUCUCGUUUUAAGUGACUGGUUGAGCUUCUGUGAGGCUGAGGAUGCAGACCAGGCCUCCGGGCUGGUGAGGACUGGACUUCCUGACUGGCAAGCCCGUUUGUGCCCUGCUCCGCACUGGGGGCCUGGCAGAGAAGAGGGGCUGGAGCCCAGUGGGGUUUACCAGCAUCUUCACCAAGCGCUGUGCCCAGGAAUGAGGUGCUGUUCCUGGCCGCACGUCUGGGGGACGCUGCCUUCGAAUCCACUCACAGGUAGGCCGGCCCUGCCUGCAGGCCUCUUUCCACCCAGCCAGCAAACACCUCACCGUCUUCAUGUGUCCUGUGGCUUUUCAGCAGGCUGGAUUUUCUCCUCACAGCGUCUGGAAAACAGAGUCAAGUUUCUCCCUCCCCUCCCUCGCUACUCUCUCCUCCCUCUGCAGGCUCCGGAUCAGGCUGCCAAUCUGUAAAUGAUGUUUUAGGUUUUUCUUUGUUGUUGUUUUGGUGCUGUGAAGCCUGCCUUGUUAACACCAGGUGCUGAAAGAUUAAAACUUAUCAAUCACCAUCAUCAAGGUGAGGAGGGGUAGGAUGGUUUCAACUAGUCCCAAAUUUCCUGGAGGAAUUUGGCCUCUUGUCAAUUUCCCUCUCCCGAGGCUGACAUUGCCAGCAGAGCAAAGUCCUCUCCAGCUGCCCACUCUCAGGCUUUACUAAGUUAAAAAUCUCUUAGCUUGGGCUCUGUGCUAAGCACAAGAAAGGGACCAACAUUUCUUGACUGAUAAUAUAUUAGUUGUUUCUUGCUAUUUGACUGUGAGACUCUAAGAAUAGUAUAUUUUUCUGGAAGCAGAGUUUUAACAACCUAGAAAGCUUAAUUAAGCUUUCCUGCUGCAUUGUUUAAAUUGAAUUAGUAGCAGAAGAGUAUUUUUAGAAGUGAAAUGAUAAUUUCAUGUAACAGAUAACAUGUCUGAAUAUUCUUAAACCUCUAUAUAGGCCAAAACAUAGCGACAGAAUUGACUUCACAAGUCUAAAAGUAUGAACGGUUUGCUUUUACACACGUCAUCACUAUCAUAUCUAUUUAUUCAAUUUAUACCUUGAAUUCCUUUUUCCUAAGUACAAAGUGAGCCGGGGUUGGGAGGAGAACUUUUAAAAGCACUUUACAAAUGUGACGGGCCUGGAGUGAUUUUUCAGUUCCUGGUUUUGCCGGUCUGGGUGGGCUCACUUCCUAGCUUUCAGUCUUGUUUGGAUUUUGUUUCUUUUAUUCAGAGGAACCAGGAUAUCACUUAGUGGUGACUGCUUUGUGUAUUACUUUGGAUAGUAAAAGUACCUGAUAUGGUUUGGCUGUGUCCACACCAAAAUCUCAUCUUGAAUUGUAACUCCCACAAUUCCCACAUGUCAUGGGAGGAACCCAGUGGGAGGUGAUUGAAUCAUGGAGGCAGGUCUUUCCCAUGCUACUCUUGUGAUAAUGACUACAUCUCACGAGAUCUGAUUAUAUAAGGGGGAGUUGCCGGGCACAAGUUCUCUUCUCUUGUCUGCUGCCAUGUGAGACAUACCUUUCACCUUCCGCCAUGAUUGUGAGGCCUCUCCAGCCACGUGGAACUGUAAGUCCAAUAAACCUCUUUCUUUUGUAAAUUGCCCAGUCUCAGGUAUGUCUUGAUCAGCAGCAUGAAAAUGGAUUAAUACAGUACCAUUAAAAAGGUUUGUUAUGAGGAAGCUGCAGGUUAAAAUAGAAAGCAGCCGUUUAAUUCAUGCUUUGAAGUGUGCAUCUCCUCAGAAACUCGGGUGACCAAAGUGAGGUCCCGGAUGGCAUAUUUUCAAAUGAAUGCUCG